AUUGAACGCUGGCGGCAGGCCUAACACAUGCAAGUCGAGCGAGCGGCGGACGGGUGAGUAAUGCCUGGGAAACUGGCUUAUGGAGGGGGAUAACUACGGGAAACGGUAGCUAAUACCGCAUACCAUCAGAUGUGCCCAGAUGGGAUUAGCUAGUAGGUGGGGUAAUGGCUCACCUAGCCGACGAUCCCUAGCUGGUCUGAGAGGAUGACCAGCCACACUGGAACUGAGACACGGCCCAGACUCCUACGGGAGGCAGCAGUGGGGAAUAUUGCACAAUGGGCGCAAGCCUGAUGCAGCCAUGCCGCGUGUAUGAAGAAGGCCUUCGGGUUGUAAAGUACUUUCAGCGGGGAGGCGUUACCCGCAGAAGAAGCACCGGCUAACUCCGUGCCAGCAGCCGCGGUAAUUC
rnacentral:rRNA from 1 species